AGAGUUUGAUCCUGGCUCAGGAUAAACGCUGGCGGCAUGCCUAACACAUGCAAGUCGAACGGGAUUAAUACGUUCUAGAUUUUCUAGGAUUUAUUAUGAGAGUGGCGGACGGGUGAGUAAGGCGUGGACAACCUGCCCUCCGGAGAGAGACAGCCUCCGGAAACGGGGAUUAAUACCUCAUAAUCCGGCCUCCUGGCAUCAGGGAGCCGGCAAAGCGCUUAGCGCCGGGGGAUGGGUCCGCGUGCCAUUAGCCAGCUGGCGGGGUAAGAGCCCACCAGGGCGACGAUGGCUAGCCGGCCUGAGAGGGUGAACGGCCACAUUGGAACUGAGAGACGGUCCAGACUCCUGCGGGAGGCAGCAGUGGGGAAUAUUGCGCAAUGGAGGAAACUCUGACGCAGCGAUGCCGCGUGGGCGAAGAAGGGCUCCGGCCCGUAAAGCCCUGCCGCCGGGGAAGAGAGAAGACGGUACCCGGCGAGCAAGCCCCAGCCAACUACGUGCCAGCAGCUGCGGUAAUACGUAGGGGGCGAGCGUUAUCCGGAUUGAUUGGGCGUAAAGGGCGCGCAGGCGGUUGUUUAGGCGCGGUGUGAAAGUCCGGGGCUCAACCCCGGCCGGUCAUCGCGGACCGGGCAACUAGAGUGCCGGCGGGGCAGACAGAAUUCCUGGUGUAGCGGUGAAAUGCGCAGGGAUCAGGAGGAAUACCAGAGGCGAAGGCGGUCUGCUAGCCGGAUACUGACGCUCAGGCGCGAAAGCGUGGGGAGCGAACAGGAUUAGAUACCCUGGUAGUCCACGCCGUAAACGAUGAACGCUAGGCUUUGGGAGAUUUUUUUCAGAGCCGCAGCCAACGCAGUAAGCGUUCCGCCUGGGGAGUACGGCCGCAAGGCUGAAACUCAAAGGAAUUGACGGGGACCCGCACAAGCAGCGGAGCAUGUGGUUUAAUUCGAAGCAACGCGAAGAACCUUACCAGGCCUUGACAUAAGGGGGGAGGCCAUAGAGAUAUGGCCGUCUUUAGGGACUCUCUUACAGGUGGUGCAUGGUUGUCGUCAGCUCGUGUCGUGAGAUGUUGGGUUCAGUCCCGCAACGAGCGCAGCCCCUAUCCUCAGUAGCCAGCAUUUAAGGUGGGCACUCUGGGGAGACUGCCAGGGAUAACCUGGAGGAAGGCGGGGAUGACGUCAAAUCAUCAUGCCCCUUAUGAUUUGGGCUACACACGUGCUACAAUGGCGUAAACAAAGGGAAGCGAGAGGGUGACCUGGAGCAAAUCCCAAAAAUAACGUCCCAGUUCGGACUGUAGUCUGCAACCCGACUACACGAAGCUGGAAUCGCUAGUAAUCGCGGAUCAGAAUGCCGCGGUGAAUACGUUCCCGGGUCUUGCACAAACCGCCCGUCA
rnacentral:rRNA from 1 species